rnacentral:rRNA from 1 species
AUUGAACGCUGGCGGCAGGCCUAACACAUGCAAGUCGAGCGGAUGAGUGGAGCUUGCUCCAUGAUUCAGCGGCGGACGGGUGAGUAAUGCCUAGGAAUCUGCCUGGUAGUGGGGGACAACGUUUCGAAAGGAACGCUAAUACCGCAUACGUCCUACGGGAGAAAGCAGGGGAUCUUCGGACCUCACGCUAAUAGAUGAGCCUAGGUCGGAUUAGCUAGUUGGUGGGGUAACGGCUCACCAAGGCGACGAUCCGUAGCUGGUCUGAGAGGAUGAUCAGCCACACUGGAACUGAGACACGGUCCAGACUCCUACGGGAGGCAGCAGUGGGGAAUAUUGGACAAUGGGCGAAAGCCUGAUCCAGCCAUGCCGCGUGUGUGAAGAAGGUCUUCGGAUUGUAAAGCACUUUAAGUUGGGAGGAAGGGUUGUAAGCUAAUAUCUUGCAGCUUUGACGUUACCAACAGAAUAAGCACCGGCUAACUUCGUGCCAGCAGCCGCAGUAACAC